UACAGAGGGUGCAAGCGUUAAUCGGAAUUACUGGGCGUAAAGCGUGCGUAGACGGUUACAUAAGUCGGGUGUGAAAGCCCCGGGCUCAACCUGGGGAUUGCAUUCGAGACUGCGUAGCUAGGGUGCGGAAGAGGGAAGCGGAAUUUCCGGUGUAGCGGUGAAAUGCGUAGAUAUCGGAAGGAACACCAGUGGCGAAAGCGGCCAGCUGGGCCAUUGCUGACGCUGAUGCGCGACAGCGUGGGGAGCAAACAGG
rnacentral:rRNA from 1 species